rnacentral:rRNA from 1 species
UGCAUCCUACGGGGGGCAGCAGUGGGGAAUAUUGCACAAUGGGGGAAACCCUGAUGCAGCAACGCCGCGUGAGUGAAGAAGUAUUUCGGUAUGUAAAGCUCUAUCAGCAGGGAAGAAGAAGGACGGUACCUGACUAAGAAGCCCCGGCUAACUACGUGCCAGCAGCCGCGGUAAUACGUAGGGGGCGAGCGUUAUCCGGAUUUACUGGGUGUAAAGGGAGCGUAGACGGUUUUUCAAGUCUGAAGUGAAAGCCCGCGGCUCAACUGCGGAACGGCUUUGGAAACUGAGGGACUAGAGUGCUGGAG